CCGUACGCUUAAAAAUCAAAACCUGAUGCGUACUGCGCACCCCUCCCGCGCUCUCGCUUCCGCGGCAGCUAACCUUCUCCACCCCUCGGCCCGCCGGUGCGUUACCCUCGCGCGCCUCCCCUUAAGGCCUUCUCUCCUCCGCCGCCGGGCCGCAGCUCCUCCGACGCAGCUCCGAGUCCGCUCCAUGGCCACCGCGGAUAGCCUCGCCCCGGCGGCAGCUACCGCGGACCAGGACGCGAAGUUCGGGUUCCGGCGGGCGGAGAUGUACAAGAGCAGCCUCAGCAACACGGUCGACGCCUACGACCGCCACGUCUUCGUCUGCUUCAAGGGCCCCGAGGCCUGGGCCCCGCGCGCGGAGGACUCGGACGCAGCCGUGCUCCCCAAGCUGCUCUCCUCCGCCGUUAAAGCCCGGAAGGAAGAAAUCUCCGUUAAGACUAAGCUGACUGUAUGCGGCGGAUGCAACGGGACCGAAUGUUCCGACGGAGAUGUCUUGAUUUUCCCGGAUAUGAUCAAAUACAAGGGUUUGUCGGAAUCGGAAGUGGAUGGCUUCGUGGAUGAGGUGCUUGUGAAUGGAAGGCCAUGGGCUUCUGGUGUGUCCGAGGUACUGACAGGUUCUCAUAUAUUUGUGUGCGCCCACGGUAGUCAUGAUCGGAGAUGCGGAGUCUGUGGACCACCCCUUAUCGAAAUGCUAAAUGAGGAGAUCGAGUCUCGCGGACUCAAAGGUCAGGUUUCUGUUCGUCCGUGCUCUCACAUUGGGGGGCAUAAAUAUGCCGGGAAUUUGAUCAUUUACAGUCCUGAUAAGGAGGAGGGGAAAAUCACUGGUCAUUGGUAUGGUUACGUUACACCUGAUGAUGUGCCCAAUGUGCUUGAUCAGCAUAUUAUUCAAGGACUAGUUAUUGAAGGUCUUUGGAGGGGCCAAAUGGGAGCCUCUUCCAAGAACUGUGAGAAGGUCGAGCAACAGGAUCUUCAAAACAAAAAGGAUGUCAAGGAAACUGAGAAACUUCAAGCGAGUAUCACUGAGGCUGUAAAAGAUAGCUCGUUUACUUGCUGCCAGGAAGCAAAUGGCGUUUCUUGUCGUGGGGAUCGGAACAUCAGUGGGAACAACGAGAAAAAACCGAAAGAAGCAGAAGGGGAGAAGAGGGGUCCAUCUAAGCUCUAGUUUGGAGUUGAAAUUGGGAGUGAUGAGAUGUGAAGUCCUGACAGUUGCAGCUGUUAACUGGUUUCGCCUACAGACUCUAUGUAAGGCCUCACUGGUGAUCAUCGUGUACAAGUGAUUAUGGGAUAGGCAUCGCCCCGGUUUUCUGCUAGAUUGGUUUUGCAUACCAAGGCGGCAAGGCAGGGGAUGGACCAAAUCAUUUCUGAUCGACCUGACGCCAGGUUAGGGCCCUUUCUACCCUAGCGGAGUGUUUGGGAGGAGUGAGAUGGAGAGUAGGAAUGAAUCUAAUUUGAGUCAGUUUGUUUGUGAACCACAUCGAACUGCAUAUCUAUAUCAGUCGAUAAUGGAAUAUUCACGAACUUGGUUUGGAUCUAAAA